rnacentral:rRNA from 1 species
AAUCUAUAGAGGCGUUUUCCGCGCCGGACCGCGUCCAAGUCUCUUGGAAUAGAGUAUCAAAGAGGGUGACAAUCCCGUACUUGACGCGACAACCGGUGCUCUGUGAUACGUUCUCAAUGAGUCGAGUUGUUUGGGAAUGCAGCUCUAAAUGGGUGGUAAAUUCCAUCUAAGGCAAAUAUUGGCGAGAGACCGAUAGCGAACAAGUACCGUGAGGGAAAGAUGAAAAGCACUUGGAAAGAGAGUUAAACAGCACGUGAAAUUGUUAAAAGGGAAACGAUUGAAGUCAGUCGUGUGAAAGGUAUUCAGCCGUCUCUGGCGGUGUAUUUGCCUUUCACGGGUCAACAUCAGUUUGAUCCGGUAGAAAAAGGCGGGAGGAAGGUGGCACCCUCGGGUGUGUUAUAGCCUCCUGUCAUAUGUGCCGGACCAGUCCAUACACACCGUGAACUGUGGCUUCGGGU